rnacentral:rRNA from 1 species
GUAGGUGGCAAGCGUUAUCCGGAUUUACUGGGUGUAAAGCGUGUGCAGGCGGUCGAGUAAGUAGCGCGUGAAAGCGCCCGGCUCAACCGGGCGAGGACGUGCUGUACUGCACGACUGGAGAUGGGUAGAGGCGAGUGGAAUUCCGGGUGUAGUGGUGAAAUGCGUAGAUAUCCGGAGGAACACCAGAGGCGAAGGCGACUCGCUGGGCCCGUUCUGACGCUCAGACACGACAGCAUGGGGAGCGAACGGGAUUAGAAACCCCGGUAGUCCAUGCCGUAAACGAUGCAGACUAGGUAUCGCGGGGGUCAAACCCGGCGGCGCCGCAGCAAACGCGCUAAGUCUGCCACCUGGGGACUACGGCCGCAAGGUUA